rnacentral:lncRNA from 1 species
CAGCAGGGGGCCUCCGGAAUCCCCCUGUAGGCAGCCUUCCGUUCCCGCCGGUCCCCCACACAAAUCUGCCUUCGGGGGUCGUAGGAACCGAAGAUGCGGAGGCACUGCCUAUCCCUCUGCACUCUCAGCUGCACCUCUCGGAGUGUAUCUGUUCCCCUCCUCAUGCUGACCCUGCCCCAGCCGGCCACAGUGCAGAGCCACUGGGUUCACGUUUCGAUUCCGUCUG